CUCAUACUCCCUCCGUCCGGAAAUACUUGUCCUAAAAAUAAAUGAAUCUAGACUUAUUUUAGUUGUAGAUAUAUCCAUUAUAUCCAUUUUUAGGACAAGUAUUUCCGGACGGAGGGAGUAUUGU
rnacentral:pre_miRNA from 1 species